rnacentral:pre_miRNA from 1 species
GUGAGAUGAAAUCAGCGUUUAGACAUGCGAUUACACGUUGAUUUCAUCUCAUAA